rnacentral:lncRNA from 1 species
UUUCAUUAUUUGUGAUCAUGUUGUCUUUCAAUACAGGCAUAAACCUUCCACUCUUGAACAAAGCAGCUGCUUUUUAAAAGCGAGAAAAAGGAAAGCGAGUCACAGGCCACUCAACGCCUACUCCAUGGGGUCUGAUUUGCUGAGACACCAACUUCACCUUCCUAACAAGGUUAUUUCUGACAGCAUGUGUAGAUAAACAUUUAGCAACAAGUUAAAAACAGCUUGAAACAUUUGAGUUGGUUAUACAACGUGAGGAAAGCAGAAUCAGACUUUUCAGAUCCUUACUGCUGUUUCAAAGCACUCUUUAUUAAGAGGCUUCUCUUUACAUUUUUGGUCAGUAUAUUCUGAAAACCUGUGAUAAACCCACUGGUUUCACUUGCUUUCUAACACGUGUUUGAACUAAGGAGGGUUUUGGUAUCCAUGUAGGCACAUAAAUGACAACAGUCAUGCACUCCGCGAAGUGCACGCAGGAAUGGAAAAAUGAGGCAGAGCAGUCAUUCUGCUGGUGGGGAAUACCCCACCGAGGAGAUGUAAUGAUCUAACUACAAAAACAGGCAGGAGAGGGGUCGUUUUGUAAGCCUAUUUGGAACCUUCCACCUGUCUCUCCUCAGUUAUAAAAUUCUUUAUAAAAAAUAACCCGCCCUUAUUUCCACAUGUUGAGGUAUCUUGUUUGUAGCAGAAGUAAAUGCAGCUUUCACAUGUAAUGAAGCAGUAGUUGUUUGCUAGUUAACUGCAGAAAGUAACUUGCACUUUCACAACAUAGGCAGUGCUUCUGAGGGCAGUUGUACACAGGAAGUAAAAGCUUAUUCUUGCUGUUGCUUUGUACUUUAUUCUUAAAAUAGGAAUAUAAAACAAAUGAGUUGGUGAUACAGAAACAAAGCAGUAGGAAAAAUGCACCUUAAUACCUACAGAACUGUUUUAAGCUGUUCUGGAGAAGCGUAAAGUUGCUCGUUCACUUGUUCUUUGUGUUGUAGGUGCAGCUCAAAUGAAGAUGAUGACUACCAGAAGACAUGAACAAAGGGUAAGUGGCAAUAAACCUCUGAAGAACCUUUAUAUGUAUAUUGACCUGUACACAGAAGGCAGACCAGUCUGUGAGACUACUGGAGAUAGAGCAAUCUUCUACAGCAUGUGUCAGAUUGUAACUGUGCAGAACGUUGGGAAGUGGCUAUUGCUUGAAGUUAAUA